AGGAGGGAGGAAGAGGAUGGAGGGAGGCGGCGGGGCCGGGCUGCGGCUGGAAGCGAAAUCCCGGGAAGAGGAGCGGGAGCAGAAAGCCCAGUCCCUUCACGGGUAAAAUGCCUCCCAAAUCUCCAACCUCUAGAAGAUUUCAAUUUCCAGCCUAAACACCCAGCUGAGCGUGUUCCGAUUCAACUCUGCUUUAUUUCCUCUCUGAAAGCCCUGUCAAAACCACUGCAUCUCCUCGCACUCUCCUGAGGGAUUUUUUGGGGUUUCUAAAAGUGUAAAGUAGGUUCUUCAUUAAUCUGUUUGUCUUAAGCUGCUUAAAAAUACUCAUUGGCUGUAUCAGGAGCCGAGGGCUUAAAAAAAAAAGCGCAGGAUUUGUAGAGGAUUGAGUUGAAUUUCUCAACUGUCUGGAACUGGCAUUAUUGCUCGACAUCCUAAGAAGGGUGAUAUUCCUGCUUUCCCUGGUACUCACCAGCCCAGUGUUGGGUUCAUGAAGCGAAGUCAUGUGGGGUUUGUUUCCAUUUUGUGAUUUUACUGCCUUCUGCUGGUCAGAGAUGAUCAGGCUGAGCUUAAUUUUUUAUAAUCAGCACAUGAUCUAAAAUUUCGCUUCAGUGCAAAUGCCAACAAUAGAUGCUUUGUGUAUUUCCUGGAGGGUUUUUUUCUGCAGCCUCAUGGAUAUAUUUCACAUAGUAGGGUUGAUCAGUAAAGACGAUUGUAGGUUUUAAUGUGCAGACUACAUCUUGUUCCAGAAGUCUGGCUGUUAGCUGGAAGUGGGGAUGUAGCAGAUCACCCUUCUAAUUAUUCCCUGCCUUUCAGCUCCCUGCUUGCCCUUUGCUUCCAAGAUAAAGAUAAGAGAUUUAAAAAUAAAAA